rnacentral:pre_miRNA from 17 species
GCGCCGUCGCUUCUGUUCUGCUGGUAGCUGUGGAGUGUGACAAUGGUGUUUGUGUGGAGUUAAAUCAAACGCCAUUAUCACACUAAAUAGCUCGGGUGGGAACCAGCCACACAUACACA